UAAGUACUCCGUCCGUCCCAAAAUUCUUGUCUUAGAUUUGUCUUGAUACAGAUGUAUCUAAUACUAAAAUGUGACUUCAUACAUGCGCAUUUAGACAAAUGUAAGACAAGAAUUUUGGAACAGAGGGAGUAGUUG
rnacentral:pre_miRNA from 1 species